CCUACGGGUGGCAGCAGUGAGGAAUAUUGGUCAAUGGGCGCGAGCCUGAACCAGCCAAGUCGCGUGAGGGAAGACGGUCCUAUGGAUUGUAAACCUCUUUUGUCGGGGAGCAAAAGACGCCACGCGUGGCGUUCCGAGAGUACCCGAAGAAAAAGCAUCGGCUAACUCCGGGCCAGCAGCCGCGGUAAUACGGAGGAUGCGAGCGUUAUCCGGAUUUAUUGGGUUAACAGGUUGCGCAGGCGGAAGAUCAAGCCAGCGGUAAAAUUGAGAGGCUCAACCUCUUCGAGCCGUUGAAACUGGUGUUCUUGAGUGAGCGAGAAGUAUGCGGAAUGCGUGGUGUAGCGGUGAAAUGCAUAGAUAUCACGCAGAACUCCGAUUGCGAAGGCAGCAUACCGGCGCUCAACUGACGCUCAUGCACGAAAGUGUGGGUAUCGAACAGGAUUAGAUACCCGAGUAGUC
rnacentral:rRNA from 1 species